UACGAAGGGGGCUAGCGUUGUUCGGAAUCACUGGGCGUAAAGCGCACGUAGGCGGAUCUUUAAGUCAGGGGUGAAAUCCCGAGGCUCAACCUCGGAACUGCCUUUGAUACUGGGGAUCUCGAGUCCGGGAGAGGUGAGUGGAACUGCGAGUGUAGAGGUGAAAUUCGUAGAUAUUCGCAAGAACACCAGUGGCGAAGGCGGACUCACUGGCCCGGAACUGACGCUGAGGUGCGAAAGCGUGGGAGCAA
rnacentral:rRNA from 1 species